UUAAAGUUUUCAGAUAUACUAUGGACAUUGGUAUUUCCUAUGUCAAUGUUUAAUAUCUUUAAAAUUCCUAUUGUAGCUCGUAGGGAGGUUGAGGAAGAGGAAGAAGUCGUUUCUACAGAACUGGAGAUCUCUCACGUUGAAGUGCCUGAGAUACCAAAGAGGCGUGUUCCAGAAGAAAGAAAGCCUGUUCCUGUCCCCAAAACAGAAGCUCCACCAGCUAAAGGUAUUGCUACUGCUCUAGUAAAAAAAAAGAAAGAAGCAAAGCCCAAACAAAUUUUCUUUCU
rnacentral:lncRNA from 1 species